UGGGUUGAAAGUUGAAACUGAACUUUGAUGGGAAUUAUUUAGCUGUGCCACAUUCACUAAAAAAAAAUCCUUUUGUAGCUAAUCAUUUAUUAAGAAAAAUUGAGAAGCUCAACACGAGAGHGGAAAAAGAAAUAAUAGUAACUUGGUCCCGGGCAUCUACCAUUAUACCCACAAUGAUCGGCCACACUAUGGGAGCUGGCCAUGCCCGAAGUCGUUACCUUAACCGCAAGGAGGGGGAUGCCGAAGGCAGGGCUAGUGACUGGAGUGAAGUUGUAACAAGGUAGCCGUACUGGAAGGUGCGGCUGGAUCACCUCCUUU
rnacentral:ncRNA from 1 species